rnacentral:rRNA from 1 species
GACGAACGCUGGCGGCGUGCUUAACACAUGCAAGUCGAACGGAAAGGCCCUGCUUUUGGGGGGUGCUCGAGGGGCGAACGGGUGAGUAACACGUGGGUAACCUGCCCUUGACUUUGGGAUAACUUCAGGAAACUGGGUCUAAUACCGGAUAGGAGCUCCUGCUGCAUGGUGGGGGUUGGAAAGUUUCGGCGGUUGGGCAUGGACUCGCGGCUUAUCAGCUUGUUGGUGGGGUAGUGGCUUACCAAGGCUUUGACGGGUAGCCGGCCUGAGAGGGUGACCGGAUCAACCACGCUUGGACUGAGGCACAGCCCAGUCUGCUACGCAGGAGAGCGGAAUAUUGCACAAUGCGAUGAAGGCAGACGUAGUCCAGCAGUGCCGGGGAUGUGGUGAUUCGCGUUGUAUACCGAUUCUCCUUGUGCCGAAGCGUGAGUGACGGUACCGGGUAAAGAAGCACCGGCUAACUCCGUG